CCCUUAGAUGUCCUGGGCCGCACACGUGCUACACUGACACUUACACCGAGUUUUUCCGGCCCCGAGAGGUGGCUGGUAAUCAGUAAUAGGUGUCGUGAUGGGGAUAGAUCUUUGGAAUUAUUGAUCUUGAACGAGGAAUGCCUAGUAAUCGUAGGUCAUCAGCCUGCGAUGAUUACGUCCCUGCCCUUUGUACACACCGCCCGUCGCUCCUACCGAUUUCGAGUGGUCCGGUGAACCUUUCGGACAGAGAGAGUCUCGUACAAUCUCUGAAAGUCAAGUAAACCACAUCACUUAGAGGAAGGAGAAGUCGUAACA
rnacentral:rRNA from 1 species